CCCCAGUAACGGCGAGUGAAGCGGCAACAGCUCAAAUUUGAAAUCUGGCCCCCGGGUCCGAGUUGUAAUUUGCAGAGGAUGCUUUGGGCGAGGUUCCUUCCGAGUUCCCUGGAACGGGACGCCACAGAGGGUGAGAGCCCCGUCUGGUCGGACACCGAGCCCGUGUAAAGCUCCUUCGACGAGUCGAGUAGUUUGGGAAUGCUGCUCAAAAUGGGAGGUAUAUGUCUUCUAAAGCUAAAUAUUGGCCAGAGACCGAUAGCGCACAAGUAGAGUGAUCGAAAGAUGAAAAGCACUUUGAAAAGAGGGUUAAAAAGUACGUGAAAUUGUUGAAAGGGAAGCGCCUAUGACCAGACUUGCGCCCGGUGAAUCAUCCAGCGUUCUCGCUGGUGCACUUUGCCGGGCACAGGCCAGCAUCAGUUUGGCGCGGGGGAUAAAGGCUUCGGGAAUGUGGCUCCCUCGGGAGUGUUAUAGCCCGCUGCGCAAUACCCUGCACCGGACUGAGGUACGCGCAUCGCAAGGAUGCUGGCGUAAUGGUCAUCAGCGACCCGUCUUGAAACACGGACCAAGGAGUCGUCUUCGUAUGCGAGUGUUCGGGUGUUAAACCCCUACGCGGAAUGAAAGUGAACGUAGGUGAGAGCUUCGGCGCAUCAUCGACCGAUCCUGAUGUUCUCGGAUGGAUUUGAGUAAGAGCAUACGGGGCCGGACCCGAAAGAAGGUGAACUAUGCCUGUAUAGGGUGAAGCCAGAGGAAACUCUGGUGGAGGCUCGCAGCGGUUCUGACGUGCGAAUCGAUCGUCAAAUAUGGGCAUGGGGGCGAAAGACUAAUCGAACCUUCUAGUAGCUGGUUUCCGCCGAAGUUUCCCUCAGGAUAGCAGUGUUGAACUCAGUUUUAUGAGGUAAAGCGAAUGAUUAGGGACUCGGGGGCGCUAUAUUGCCUUCAUCCAUUCUCAAACUUUAAAUAUGUAAGAAGCCCUUGUUGCUUAAUUGAACGUGGGCAUUCGAAUGUAUCAACACUAGUGGGCCAUUUUUGGUAAGCAGAACUGGCGAUGCGGGAUGAACCGAACGCGAGGUUAAGGUGCCGGAGUGGACGCUCAUCAGACACCACAAAAGGUGUUAGUACAUCCUGACAGCAGGACGGUGGCCAUGGAAGUCGGAAUCCGCUAAGGACUGUGUAACAACUCACCUGCCGAAUGUACUAGCCCUGAAAAUGGAUGGCGCUCAAGCGUCCCACCCAUACCUCGCCCUCAGGGUAGGAACGAUGCCCUGAGGAGUAGGCGGACGUGGAGGUCAGUGACGAAG
rnacentral:rRNA from 1 species